GCAAGUCGAGCGGUAGAGAGAAGCUUGCUUCUCUUGAGAGCGGCGGACGGGUGAGUAAUGCCUAGGAAUCUGCCUGGUAGUGGGGGAUAACGUUCGGAAACGGACGCUAAUACCGCAUACGUCCUACGGGAGAAAGCAGGGGACCUUCGGGCCUUGCGCUAUCAGAUGAGCCUAGGUCGGAUUAGCUAGUUGGUGAGGUAAUGGCUCACCAAGGCGACGAUCCGUAACUGGUCUGAGAGGAUGAUCAGUCACACUGGAACUGAGACACGGUCCAGACUCCUACGGGAGGCAGCAGUGGGGAAUAUUGGACAAUGGGCGAAAGCCUGAUCCAGCCAUGCCGCGUGUGUGAAGAAGGUCUUCGGAUUGUAAAGCACUUUAAGUUGGGAGGAAGGGCAUUAACCUAAUACGUUAGUGUUUUGACGUUACCGACAGAAUAAGCACCGGCUAACUCUGUGCCAGCAGCCGCGGUAAUACAGAGGGUGCAAGCGUUAAUCGGAAUUACUGGGCGUAAAGCGCGCGUAGGUGGUUUGUUAAGUUGGAUGUGAAAUCCCCGGGCUCAACCUGGGAACUGCAUUCAAAACUGACUGACUAGAGUAUGGUAGAGGGUGGUGGAAUUUCCUGUGUAGCGGUGAAAUGCGUAGAUAUAGGAAGGAACACCAGUGGCGAAGGCGACCACCUGGACUAAUACUGACACUGAGGUGCGAAAG
rnacentral:rRNA from 1 species